GCUGCCCCGCGCAUCCUCCCAGCCGCAUCCGGCCCGCGCAUCCUCCGCUCACCGGUCCGUCAGUCCCGAGCCUCAGCGGGGGUCCAGCUCGCAUUCCUUGCGGACCGGAGUGAAACCGAGGACGUGGGAGCCGUUCGUUGCUCGCUUCUGGGAGGCCAAAGGACGGGGAGGAGACGUGCGGGCAGCGCGUCACGCCCUCUGAGCGCCUGGCAGGGUCAGAGCCAAGUACACGGCGCUGCCCAGCCGAUCUUUGCAGUUUGCCCACGCUCGAGUUUGGGAGCCAAGGUAGAUUUGAGCCAGAAUUCGCCUAGGAAAACCGGGGGCUGCUUCAAUGACUGUCUGUUAAGCACCUAUUACGUGCGGUUCAGCAAGUGCGACUUCACCAUCCCACCUCGCAAAGGUGUGAGCCCCAGGGCACUGACUCCUUGGGAAAGCUGCUCAUUUUGAUCCUGAUUCUAUUGCCUCAGAUCAAAGUUUUCACCGUAUUCAGACAGCGGUGAUUUAGCACCUUUUCAGGGGAAGGAGCUUUCAAAUGCCCAGUCCGCUCCUGGGUUUCUUGUUACCACUUUCUUCGGGGCCUCUUUGUGUCUGGGAAAGAAACCUCUACCUACCUCAUUGGAAUGCUCACUCUAUUUUGUGAAAUGAACUAUGGCCCAAUUUUAUAAUCAGAAGAUAAAGCCAAUUAAAACUCUCA